rnacentral:lncRNA from 10 species
AGAAGAUGUGAUGCAUUGGCCUCCCCCUGCAGGAGUUGGGAACGCGCAGAUUCCGCGAAUCACAGUUUUCAGAUAUGGCUGAAAUUGAUAACCCAAGUGAGCAGCUCAGGGAUCAGGACCUGAGGUUUUCAGCACAAACGACAAGAGGUUCAAGUAGAAAAGCAGGUAAGAAGCCCGUUCUAUGGAGCUGGUAUUUCUCUUCUCUCUCUCUCUCUCUCUUUUUGGGGAGCAGUAGCAAGGUUUAUUGUGAAGAGCGAAAGAACAAAGCUUCCACAGUGUGGAAGGAGACCUGAGCGGGUUGCGCCUCUUUUCUUUUCUUUUCUUUCUUUUUUUUUUUGAGAUAGAGUCUUGCUCUUGUCAGGCUGGAGUGCAGUGGCAUGACCUGGGCUCACCACAACCUUCACCUCCAGGGUUCAAGUGGUUGUCCUGCCUCAGGCUCCUGAGUAGCUGGGAUUACAGGCACCUGCCACCAUGCCUGGCUAAUUUUUGUAUUUUUAGUAGAGACAGGGUUUUGCCUGUUGGCCAGGCUGGUCUUGAACUCCUGACCUAAGGUGAUCCACCCUCCUUGGCCUCCCAAAGUACUGGGAUUACAGGUGUGAGCCACCACACCCGUUCCCGGCCUUUACUUUUUUUUUUUUUUUUUUUUUAAAUAACAGCUUUAUUGAGAUGUAAUUCAUAUACCCUAUAAAUCACCCGUUUGAAGCACUCAGUUCAAUAGCUGCUAAGUGUUCAAUUCAAUAGCUGCUAAGUGUUUGUGGAGUUCUGUGGCAUCACCACUAUCUUACCCCAGAACAUUUUUUUCACCCCUAAAAGAAACCCCAUACUCGACCGUCACCCGCCCAUUAACUACCCCAGCCCCAGGCGAUCCCGUCUGCCCUCUGCCUCUGUGAGUUUGCCUGUUCUGUACAUUUCACAGAAGCGGAACAUGCAAUAUGCAGCCCGUGCCUGGCUUCCCUCACUCAGCUUGACGAAAUCACAGAACAGAUUGUUCUCAAGGAGGCCCCCGUGGUGUUUUCCGGAGCUCCUCUGCCAGGUCUCCAGUUGCGGCAGGGUCCACGUCGCCCCUCCCCUUGGCUCUGGGUUGGCCUUGUCACCAACGUAGGUGGUGGGGCCACAUGGUGCCACCUGCUCCCUCUGCACACCUCUGGGCCCACCAGGUCCUAGUGGGCUGGCAUCUGCUGCGGGGGCUCUGGUGUGGGUGGAAACACUGGGUCCCCCCAGGCUCCUCCUCAUCCCCUGCUCCCAACUUCUUCCUCCAUCCCCCAACAGCCCUCAGAGCUCAAGGGAGGGGGCAUUGACAAAGGGUCUCCACCAGCCUGGUCCUCUUAGCUUUUCUGGUCUAUGAGCUCAGGCAAAAUGGCCAGGCAGGCCCCAGGCCACCUCAGCCCAGCUUAGCCCAGUCCACUCUAGCUUAGUUCAGCCUAGCCCAGUGCAACCCUGUUCACCUCAGUCCAGCCCAGCCAAGCUCAUCCCAGCCCACCUCAGUCCAGCCCAGCACAGCCCAGCCCAGCCCAGGUUAGCCCAGCCAAGCCUAGUUCAACCCAGUUCAGCCCAGCCCAGCCUAGCUCAGCCCAGCCAAGCUCAGCCCAGUUCAGCUCAGCCCAGCUCAGCCCAGCCAAGCUCAGCCCAGCUCAGCCUAGCCCAGUCUAGCUCAGCCCAGCCCAGCUCAGCCCAGCCCAGCUCAGCCUAGUCCAGUCUAGCUCAGCCCAGCCCAGCUCAGCCCAGCCCAGCUCAGCCUAGUCCAGUCUAGCUCAGCCCAGCCCAGCUCAGCCUAGCUUAGCCAAGUUCAGCCCAGCUCCCGCCCAGCCCAGCUUAGCCCUGCCCAGUUCAGCCCAGCCCAGCCCAACUCAGCUCAGCCCAGCCCAGCCCAGCUCAGCCCAGCAUGGCCCAGCCCAGGUUAGCCGAGCCAAGCCUGGUUUAACCCAGUUCAGGCCAGCCCAGCCCAGCUCAGCCCAGCCAAGCUCAGCCCAGUUCAGCCCAGCCCAGCCCAGCCCAGCCCUGCCCGGCUCAGCCCAGCCCAGCUCAGCCCAGCACAGCCCAGCCCAGCCCAGGUUAGCCCAGGUUAGCCCAGGUUAGCCCAGCCAAGCCUAGUUCAACCCAGUUCAGCCCAGCCCAGCCCAGCCCAGGUUAGCCCAGGUUAGCCCAGGUUAGCCCAGCCAAGCCUAGUUCAACCCAGUUCAGCCCAGCCCAGCCCAGGUGAGCCCAGCCAAGCCUGGUUCAACCCAGUUCAGCCCAGCCCAGCCUAGCUCAGCCCAGCCCAGUCCAGCCAGCCCAGCUCCAGGUCCAUGACUUCUAAAGCAGGAUGUGCUUUGUGGGUUCAAGCUUGUGGCAUUUGGGGAAUCACAUAUGGGGGCCUCGAGGCAGAGCAGAGAGGACUUGCAGGACUGUGCAGCUGACAGGAUUUGACAUAGAGACAACUGUGGAAACCCGAGUGUGGAAGGCGUGACUCUGGGUCUCAGCAGCCACCUGCUGGGCAGAUUACACCAGCAGCGCCCCACCGUGGGGCCAGGCGCAGGUCACGGCCAGUGCUGGGAUGUCCUGCAAAAAAUCCGGGUUGACCACACACCACCCAGGUCAGCACGUGGUCCCCAUGGUUGCUGGAGGCAGCUCAGGCUCCAGAGCACUGACUGUGUGCAUCGCUCUCGCUCCACGUUCUAAGCCCUAACACCAGUGGUUUGCAACCAGCCACGGUGGGAGUGUGUGCGGAUGCUGCAGACCAGCCCUGCCCCUUCUGAGAGUCCCUUGUUAAGCAAUUACCAGCACAUUGCUGACUGGCCGAGUCACUAACAUACUAGGGUAUUUUGAUGUUCCCCCCAGAGGACUCUCUGCCCCAUUCCUGUCCAUGCUGGGGUACUGGUUGGCACAGGGGAAGGUGGCACCUGGCUGUGGGCUGCAGGUGGUACAGAAACCUGUGCUCCCCGCGAGGAGCUGGAGUUGGAGCUGGCCACGUGUGGCAUCAUCUGUUGGAAGGCAUUGGAGACCUUGACUAGGAGCAGCCCCUGAGUGGCCUGACUGCUGGACCAGCUGCAAGCUGAGUCCUAGCCCUCGAGGAGUGGGGCCCCCAUCAUCCAGGACCUGGCGCCCGCAUCUGCAGAGGGCUGGGCUCCAUGCUGGGGCCAGAACACAGGGAGCAUGAAGGACUCAGAGACCCGCCUGCGGCCAUAGCACAGGGUAGCCAGCAGGGGACAGCUGGGCCGAGGGGGUGCCGGACGCAGGUGCCAGCCGCCUAGCAGGGCCCUCUUUCUGUCCUCUAUUCAAGGUGGCAGUCUGAAAGACCCCCCCACCCAGACAGCCCUCUGCGAUCUGCGAAGUGAGCAGAGCUGCAUGUGCUGCUCAUCCUUCACCCCUUCAUUCAUUCACUUGGAAGCACCCAGUGAGCACUGUGAAGUCGUGGGCGCUGGUCCAGUGGUGACUGAGGGCAGUGGUGGGUGCCAGGUCCAGUGGUGACCGAGGGCAGUGUCCUCAGGGACUCACGGUUGGCUGUCCUUAGGGACUCACGGUUGGCUGUGGGGACACAGUGGUGUGCACCGGGUCCAGCGGUGACCGAGGGCAGUGGUGGGUGUCGGGUCCAGUGGUGACCGAGGGCAGUGGUGGGCGACGUGUCCAGUGGCGACCGAGGGCAGUGGUGGGUGCUGGGUCCAGUGGUGACCGAGGGCAGUGGUGGGCGCUGGUCCAUUGGUGACCAAGGGUACUCGUCUUCAGGGACUCACAGCUGGGGGGGCACCAAUGAGCAAAGAAAGAAGAAAGAACAAAAGGAAGAUGGGUGGGUGCAGCACAUGCUGCUGGGGCCAGGAGGAGCCUCACCCUGUUGUUCCAGGCCCGGCACCCCCAGCCUGUUCCGGGAAAACUGUCUGGCAAGGCAGGCCUGACCUUGCCCAGGCCACGCUGGCCCCUCUCCCUCUGAACCUCGUGGCUCAUGGCCCAGGACCCGAUGGCAGCGAGCCCAUGGGGGUGAGCCUGGGAAGGAUGCUCUGUGUGGAUGGGGAGUGGCAGGGGCAGGAUUGUGGUCUGGGCUUAGGAGGGGGAGUCCUGCGUGCCCCGGGGAGGCUGACUUUUCGGCAUUAGAAGGAAAUUUGCCUUGAAAAAGAACCUGGGACAGUGCCUGAAAGACACAACUGGGAGGGUCCGAGGCUGGCCAACCCCAGAACUGAGUUCUUGGCCAGCUGCCCAGGGCACCUGGCUUGGUAGGAGGCUGGAGAGGCACUAGAGCCCGCUGAGGAUGUCCGGCCCUCGCACUCUCUGGCUGCCCUGGGUGCACCCACCUGCCAAAUGCAGACUUCUCAGCACCCCUCAAGCCUGCCUGAUUCCCCUGCUGGGAAGAGCACGCCAGCACUCCUGACCUGGAGCUGUCCUUCUCAGCACGUGGUCUCAGAGAGCGGGCGGUGGGUGAGACCAUGCGGGGGUCGUUGGGUAUAAAAUGGAUUGAUCUUGAGCUGUGGUUCAUCUCCGUGAGCACCAGAGCGUGGAGCUAAAAGAUGGCUUCAUCUACGGAGGACAAAAUUUACUUUCAAUAUCUCACUUUAUGGGGGAUAUGAACUGUGAGUUUAGGAGCCAAGUCCAGCAUGCUAAAAAUCUUCCAAGCUGUUUCAUUUUCUUAUCUCCAAGGAACCGGUGAGAAUAUGUGGGUAAGUAUUGGAAUCUGACACGUACAGCUCAUAGGCAGAUGGGAUCCUUCAAGGUGGUUUAGACGCGUCCUCUGGGCUGGCAGCAAAUCACUUCUGGGCUCCACUGUUUGCCACCUUUGCUGUGGAACACAGCGGAACCUGCAGCAUCUGGGCUGGGAUUGGACUUCAGAGGGUGCACAUGUGGUUUUUGUGGGCAGUUUUUCUCAGUGGCCUUUUUAUUGAGGAAUAACAUACAUACGGAAAGGUUCCCAAAUCAUAGAUGUAUGGCUUGAUGCAUUUUAAAAAGUGGACACACCCUGAAACUUCCAUCCAGACAAAGAGACAUGGUGUUUGCAGCACCCCAUCUCGCAGGCCCCCUUAGAGGGAACCGCUAUUCUGACUUUCAUGACCGUGAAUGAGGUUUGCCUGGGAUUGAACUUUACAUACAUGAAAUCGUAAGCUAUGGACCCUUUAGUGUCUGGCUUCUUUUGCUCAAGUUAGAUUUGUGAGAUUCGUCUAGAUCAUUAUGGGCAGAAAUUCUUUCUUUCUCCAUGGCUGUCUUCGAUGGUCUGAGUACACUUCUUUUUAAACAAAUUUAAUUUAAUUUUAAGUUCCGGUAUCCGUGUGUGGGACGUGCAGGUUUGUUACAUAGGUAAAUGUGUGCCAUGGUGGUUUGCUGCACCCAUCAGCCCAUCACCCAGGUAUUAAGCCCAGCACACAUUCGCUAUUUAUCCUGCUUGAGGGUCUCUCUCUUCUCACGCAUGAACAGCGUUGUUCUUUUGCAUAGUUCAGGGCUGUGGGGCAUAGUGUGGCCCCGCGUUCAUGUGCGUGUCUCAUGGUGAACACAGGCAGGCGUUGGGCAUAAAUCCAACCAUCACACAUGCAUUGCAAAUAUCUACUCACAGUUUCUGGCUUAGUUUUAAUUCUCUUAACAGUGUCCCUUGAUAAACAGGCAUUCUUAACUUUAACAAAGUCCAAAGUUUCCAUCUUUCCAUUAGUCUUCAGAAAAAUAAGUAGCAUUUAACAAUUCUAUUUUCUAUUUGUGUUACUGGUAUAUUGGGAUACAAUGUUUCAUGCUAACCACAUAUCUUGUGUCUUGCUAAAUUCUCAUAUUAACUGUAACAAUUUAGCUGUAGAUUCUUUUGGAUUUUCUACAUGCACAAUUGUGUUACCUGUAACUAAUUACAGUUUCAUGUCUUUAUUUCCAGUCCCAUACUUUUGCUUUCCUUUCCUACCUUCUCAUCCUGGCCUGGGCCUCCACCACCACAUUUGACAGAAAUGAAAAUAGCAGACUCUUGUCUCAUUCCUGACAUCAGGGGAAAACUUUUGACAUUUUAUCAGGAAGUGUGUUGGCUGUAGGCUUUAGGCUUUUUGAUGAUAUCUGUAUCAUAUUAAGAAAGUUACUUUCUCAGACUUCUUUUACUUUUACAGCCUGGGCAACAGAGCAAGACUCCAUCUCACACACACACACACACACACACAAAGUUAUUUUCUCGGACUUUUUAUCCUGAAGAGUGUUGAAUUUUAUCAAUGCUUUUCCUGAAUUUACUGAGAUUAUUAAAUGGUUUUUCUUUUUUAUUCUUUUAAUGUAAUGCAUUACAUUUGUUGAUUUUCAAAUAUUAAACUAACUCUUUAUUUUUGUAAUGAAC